AAUAGAUACCUGGUAGUCCACGCCGUAAACGAUGAGUGCUAAGUGUUAGAGGGUUUCCGCCCUUUAGUGCUGCAGCUAACGCAUUAAGCACUCCGCCUGGGGAGUACGGCCGCAAGGCUGAAACUCAAAGGAAUUGACGGGGGCCCGCACAAGCGGUGGAGCAUGUGGUUUAAUUCGAAGCAACGCGAAGAACCUUACCAGGUCUUGACAUCCUCUGCCAACCCUAGAGAUAGGGCGUUCCCCUUCGGGGGACAGAGUGACAGGUGGUGCAUGGUUGUCGUCAGCUCGUGUCGUGAGAUGUUGGGUUAAGUCCCGCAACGAGCGCAACCCUUGAUCUUAGUUGCCAGCAUUCAGUUGGGCACUCUAAGGUGACUGCCGGUGACAAACCGGAGGAAGGUGGGGAUGACGUCAAAUCAUCAUGCCCCUUAUGACCUGGGCUACACACGUGCUACAAUGGAUGGUACAAAGAGCUGCGAACCCGCGAGGGUAAGCGAAUCUCAUAAAGCCAUUCUCAGUUCGGAUUGUAGG
rnacentral:rRNA from 1 species